GGGGUUGUGGCUCAGUGUAGAGUGCUUGCCUAGCAUGCAUGAGGCCCUGUGUUCGAUCCUCAGAACCACA
rnacentral:tRNA from 1 species